rnacentral:RNase_P_RNA from 1 species
CUUGUGCAUCGCUCCACCGCUCCGCACCGCGAGGUGUGGGGAGGAAAGUCCGGGCAGCGUAGGGCAGCGUGCUUCUUAACGGGAAGGGGGCCAUUUGGGAACGGCUGGUCCACAGAAAGUGCCGCAGAAAGGGAAACCGCCGAUCGUCGGAGUUGAAGUGAAGGCCCGCCUUCGCCAAGGCUUCAGCGAGGUAAGGAUGAAAAGGUGCGGUAAGAGCGCACCAGUGUCUUGGCGACAAGGCAGCUAGGUAAACCUCACGCGUUGAAAGACCAUGUAUACCGGGUGUUCCGUAUCGCCGGAACGAGGAAAGCCCGUCCUCCCGAUGCAUUUCGGGAUCCGGAGGGUAGGUCGAUCGAUCCUGUCGGUGACGACAGGGCUAGAUAGAUGGUGGAGGCUACGCCCGAAAGGGUGGAGAACAGAACCCGGCUUACAGGUGCACAGGACUU